GAUGAACGCUAGCGGGAGGCCUAACACAUGCAAGCCGAGCGGGAUUUGAGACUAGCUUGCUAGUCUUAAUGAGAGCGGCGUACGGGUGCGGAACACGUGUGCAACCUGCCUUUAUCUGGGAGAUAGCCUUUCGAAAGGAAGAUUAAUAUCCCAUAAUAUAAUGAUUGGCAUCAAUUAUUAUUGAAAGCUCCGGCGGAUAGAGAUGGGCACGCGCAAGAUUAGAUAGUUGGUGAGGUAACGGCUCACCAAGUCGAUGAUCUUUAGGGGGCCUGAGAGGGUGAUCCCCCACACUGGUACUGAGACACGGACCAGACUCCUACGGGAGGCAGCAGUGAGGAAUAUUGGACAAUGGGUGAAAGCCUGAUCCAGCCAUCCCGCGUGAAGGAUUAAGGACCUAUGGUUUGUAAACUUCUUUUCUACAGGGAUAAACCUACUCUCGUGAGAGUAGCUGAAGGUACUGUAGGAAUAAGCACCGGCUAACUCCGUGCCAGCAGCCGCGGUAAAAC
rnacentral:rRNA from 1 species